CGACGGGUGGUAGUAGUGAGGAAGAGUGGUCAAGGGGCGUAAGCCGGAACCAGUCAAGUCGAGUGAGGGACGACGGUCCUAGGGAUUGUAAACCUCUUUUGUCGGGGAGCAAGGCCCGCCACGUGUGGCGGGAAGGAGAGUACCCGAAGAAAAAGCAUCGGCUAACUCCGUGCCAGCAGCCGCGGUAAUACGGAGGAUGCGAGCGUUAUCCGGAUUUAUUGGGUUUAAAGGGUGCGUAGGCGGCCUUUUAAGUCAGCGGUGAAAGUCUGUGGCUCAACCAUAGAAUUGCCGUUGAAACUGGGAGGCUUGAGUAUGGUUGAGGCAGGCGGAAUGCGUGGUGUAGCGGUGAAAUGCUUAGAUAUCACGCAGAACCCCGAUUGCGAAGGCAGCCUGCCAAGCCAUGACUGACGCUGAUGCACGAAAGCGUGGGGAUCAAACAGGAUUAGAUACCCUGGUAGUC
rnacentral:rRNA from 1 species